rnacentral:lncRNA from 1 species
AAAGGAGGAGAGGAGAAGACAACUGAAGCUGAGUUUGCUGAGGACAAGGCCAGGGACAGUCCGACCCAUUGGCCUCUGAAGUCAGUGUUGUGGAAACUCACAUCCUGAAGAUUUGAUCCAGGACUGGAGGACCAGUGGGAAAAGCCAGUGAUCCGAUUCUUGCUUGGCUAUCCCCUCCUCAGAGGGCCCUUCUCUGACCCCUCUACCCAAAAUAGCAGCCCUGAGUCACUCUCCAUCCCUCCAGCUUGUGCCCUUGUCCUGCCUGCACCCACCCCCACCUGACACCCGAUUUUGUUAAAUGCUGUGUGUCUCCCCCACUAGGAUGAAGGGCUCCAUGAGGACGGAAGCCUUGUUUUAGUCAACACUGUAUCCCUGCAUCUGGCUCAGGGCAUGGCACACAGAAGGAGCUUCAUACGUGUGUUUAAUUCUGAGUUGGCGGGGAUGUGAGAAGGGGCAGAGGCUUCACUCACAGGGAGCUGGAUGGCCCACUGAGCAUCACAGGCUGGCAUGCACCAUCAGUGAGCAUCUCCCUCUCAGGUGGAAAGGGAGCCCAACAUAGUAAGUUCCUGGGGCCCAAGGCCUCCAGCCCAGCAUGCCAGUUUCAUCCUGGGUUGCCCUGGGCCUGUGAGGUAGCUGAGAGGACUCCCAGGCUGAGGCGGGCCCACCACCCCAUCACCAACAAUCUGAUGACAGUCAGCCAUUAGCUGGGGGUAGUGGGAGAACGGUGGGGUGGGAGACUCACAGGCAGGGACUCUUCCCUGGUCAGAAACACUGGGAAGGGAGGGCAUGGCCGAGGGGAGGGCAUUGGUUAUGGAGUCUGAAUUCAAACCCUGGAGAAGGGCUCUAACUGGAGGUUUGUGAAGGACAUCAGGGAGUCCACAGCCCCCUGAAAUGAUUCACAAAGGGAAUGUGGGUGUGCACACUUGCACACUGACUUUUCUGAAUUUGAUUCAUUUCUCUAAGUGGCCUUGACACUGAACAUAUUGAAAACUUGAGGUAAGGUAUAGAACUGUACUUAAGUCACAGCCCAGGCCCUCCUAACCCCUAAUCCCCGCUCCAGGGUCCCAACUGGAAUCCCGCCCUAGGUCACACCUGAAGGGGGAUCCUUUUAACGUAAACAAGGCCACUCGCUUGCCUCAGCAGGCAGUGGAAGUUACCACCAAAAUAAAGUGAAAUAAAAUCUCUAACCCCAACUAGCCCAUAAUGCAUUCCCAGACAAUGUGGAUAUGAAUUGGAGCAUGACGAUUCUGUUUGGGAUACUCUGUACUCCCCGUCCUUCUGCUGGAAGGAAAUGAAUGUGCAACAGCUUAAUUUAUCCUUCGCUGGGAAGCCAUGGAGGCUGGGAGGCAGCUCCUGUGAGGUCCAAUCAACCCUGUAGAGGAUUCCUGCUUAUCCUAACCUGCCCACAACCCACAGUCUCUGGGCAGGCGUGGCAGGAGCCGAGCUCUACACCCAGACUGGGAGAACCCCUGCCUUUGAUUGCUCAGACUCAGCCUCCUGUAAAAAGACCUGGACGACCUUCUCACCCAGACAGCUUUCCAGGGGUUGGGGGCGGGGCAGGGAAGGAAUGAAGUCUGAUGGGCAAAUAGAUGGGGAAGGCUUUAGUAAGGGUUCAAAACUUUCUUCUGGACAACAUAAGGAGAACUCAUGCUGGCAAGAGGAGAAAUCUAGACCCCCAGAAAAGACCCAGGGGCAAGAGGGGCCUGGGAAAUUUUAGAAAAUCACAAGGAUUGUCCCACUGAGCUCAGUGAGCAAGCUGGGAAUGGCAGGAGAGGAGAGACAGGGCAGGUAGGCAAGGCAGUCCUAAGGGUCUGGACUUUAUCCUGACCCAGAGUGUACCAGGAGAGACUUUUCCAAAGGGAGUGGCUCAAGAAGAUUAGACCAAUAGGUUUUAGAACAACAGAUAUGAUGCAGGAGAAAGGUGGAAGGACAGGGACUAAAUGAGAUGAAGCUAUGCUAGGUGUUAACUGAAGCCAGGAAUGGAAAUACUUUCCCAAACGGCUUUUUCAGGAUUCCCAAAUCCCUCAUUUCAAUUCCUCAACAAGAUUUCCUGACAUGCAGGCUUCCAAGAUUCGCUGUGCCCUGGGACAGACAUGUCAUCUAGCAAGAAGAAAGGACUUUGAAGUUCAACAGGGUUGGAUUUGAAUCUUGGUUCUUCACCUUAUUUCUUGCAUGUGACUUUGAGUCAGUAUCUGUUACCUAAUCUGUAAAAUGGGGGUGAAGUUGACUUUUUCUAAAGAUGGUUGUGGAGAUCAGUGAUCUUUUCCAUACAGUCUAAGGCACAUAAUAAGUGCUCAAUAAACAGUGAACAUGAGUACUUUGUCUUUAAA